rnacentral:rRNA from 1 species
GACGAACCGUGCGAACGUUGUUCGGAUUCACUGGGCAUAAAGGGCGCGUAGGCGGAUGGUCAAGUCGGGGGUGAAAUCUUUCAGCUUAACUGGAAAAGUGCCUCCGAUACUGAUCGUCUCGAGGGCGGUAGGGGCAUGUGGAACUUCCGGUGGAGCGGUGAAAUGCGUAGAUAUCGGAAGGAACGCCGGUGGCGAAAGCGACGUGCUGGACCUCUUCUGACGCUGAGGCGCGAAAGCUAGGGGAGCAAACGGG